rnacentral:rRNA from 1 species
AUUGAACGCUGGCGGCAUGCCUUACACAUGCAAGUCGAACGGUAACGGGCCUUCGUGUGCCGUCGAGUGGCGACCGGGUGAGUAAUACAUCGGAACGUGCCCGAUCGUGGGGGGUAACGAGGCGAAAGCUUUGCUAAUACCGCAUACCAUCUACGGUUGAAAGCAGCGGACCUCAAUGCCUUGCGCCGACUUAGCGGCCGAUGGCAGAUUGAGUAGCUGGUGGGAUAAAAGCUUACCAAGCCGACGAUCUGUAGCUGGUCUGAGAGGAUGAUCAGCCACACUGGGAAUGGGAAAAGGCCCCGACUCCUAAGGGAGGGAGGAGGGGGGAAAUUUGGACAAAGGGCGGAAGCCUGAACCAGCCAAGCCGCGGUCAGGAUGAAGGCUUUCGGGUUGUAAACUGCUUUUGUACGGAACGAAAAGACUUCGUUUAAUACAGGAGGGGCAUGAAGGUACCGUAAGAAUAAGCACAGGCUAAAUAAGCU